UACGAACCGUGCGAACGUUGUUCGGAAUCACUGGGCUUAAAGGGCGCGUAGGCGGCCCGCCGCGUCCGGGGUGAAAUCCUCCCGCUCAACGGGAGAACGGCCUCGGAUACGGGCGGGCUGGAGGGGGGUAGGGGCAGGCGGAACUGUGGGUGGAGCGGUGAAAUGCGUUGAGAUCCACAGGAACUCCGGUGGCGAAGGCGGCCUGCUGGACCCCACCUGACGCUGAGGCGCGAAAGCCAGGGGAGCGAACGGG
rnacentral:rRNA from 1 species